UACGAAGGGGGCUAGCGUUGCUCGGAAUUACUGGGCGUAAAGGGUGCGUAGGCGGGCAGGUAAGUCAGUGGUGAAAUCUCCGGGCUUAACCCGGAAACUGCCGUUGAUACUAUCUGUCUUGAAUAUCGUGGAGGUAAGCGGAAUAUGUCAUGUAGCGGUGAAAUGCUUAGAUAUGACAUAGAACACCGAUUGCGAAGGCAGCUUACUACACGAUCAUUGACGCUGAGGCACGAAAGCGUGGGGAGCAAACAGG
rnacentral:rRNA from 1 species